rnacentral:rRNA from 1 species
UACGUAGGGUGCAAGCGUUGUCCGGAAUUAUUGGGCGUAAAGAGCUCGUAGGCGGUCUGUCACGUCUGCUGUGAAAACUCGGGGCUUAACCCCGGGCCUGCAGUGGGUACGGGCAGACUAGAAUUCGGUAGGGGAGACUGGAAUUCCUGGUGUAGCGGUGAAAUGCGCAGAUAUCAGGAGGAACACCGGUGGCGAAGGCGGGUCUCUGGGCCGAUAUUGACGCUGAGGAGCGAAAGCGUGGGGAGCGAACAGG